UGUAAGUUUUCUUUUAAGCUGUUAUAAAGGUAGUUUUUCAAAUAAUGGAAAGCAUUACUUCCUGUCAUUUAAAUUCAAAAAAGGUGAACGCGAAUGUAAGAUGCCACCGACACUGCAAAGAGUGCAAUUUAAACGAGUACUGUACUUUGUCAUGCAGAUGCCAUGAACGCUGGCCUGGUGUUCCACUUCCUAAAUUAAUAUUACCAGUGGUAUCUCAAACGGAAUGCGAGGAUGUUUGUUGCAAACGAGAAAAUAAGGGUUGCAUAAAAUGUGAUCACAUUCCUCCGCCAUUUCUGCGUUUCAAUUACAGCACAGAAGAUGGUGACUAUGACAAGAAAUCUAAUCUUGCGACGUAUCAAACGGUAUGUAGAGGUGCAGCGUAUGCGGAGUUCUGGGAUAUUUUUUCAGUAAAAGAGAGCUUAUAAUACACUGAAUAGAACUGCAUGCAAACAUGGACUGAUUUUUUGUAAGAAAAGAAUGCUACAGAGAAUUCUUUUUUAAUAAAAAUCCAUCUACCAACGACUAAUGAAUUUCAUGGACGGAAUACGUUGUUGUAUUGCCAAGGAUUAGAUAAAAGGUGCAAUAUGGAGACGCCCCGAUUUUUGGAAGCAUUUCCUAUGCACUGUAGAAGUAUUCAAAGGUUAUAAAGAAGAACUUAGUUAAUGACGCAAAAUUUAGAAAAAAAAUUAAUGACCGAAAAUUGUUUUACUUUAAAUUUAACUCAUUAAAGAUACUUUUAAAAAGCUUUA